AUUGUAGUGACGUCAAGCAAACGUGAAGCUAACGGGGGUCGUCUUUGGGAAAGAAAACGAAAGCAUUUCUAGUUUCUAGUUAUCGUCUGGCUCUCGAAGGCGGGUUACCUUCAUGUUGGCUCAGGUCGUACGUCGACGGAUGUGUUUGUUUGCAGGAGCAGGGGUUGAGGAGUCCUCUGUGCCCCAUUCAUACAUGUGAUGAUGUCACCGGGAAGACGCACGUGGGGCAAAACGGCACAGGAUAAAAGAGGAAAGCAAGACGAUGAUCGUCAGUCUCCAGCUGCAGCCGAACUGGCUGCAGACUCUGUUCUCUAGAUUGUUACUUUUUAAAACUUUUUCCAUGCUUUGAUUCUAUUCUUUGUCAUUUUUAUGUUAGUUAAUAUAUCAGGGAUCACAAAUCUGACCAAGCACUAUGGCAGAUCAUUUCUCUCUUGUUAUCUAUCUUUAGAAGAAUAAGAAUAAGAAGAAUCAUCUUUUAUUGUCAUGAACAUGCAUGCAUGCACGCACACGAAAUUUGUUCUCUGCAUUUAACCCAUCACAGUGAAAACAUACACAUACACACUGGAGCAGGGGGCAGCUGAAGCGCCCGGGGAGAUUUCUGGCUCUCACAGACCUGUAACUUCUUCUUUGAGAAUCUCCUGUCCUCCACUCGUUACCUGUGGCACCUGUUUGAACUCGUCAGUAUAAAAGACACCUGUCCACAACCUCAACUAGUCACACUCCAAACGCCACUAUGGCCAAGACCAAAGAGCUGUCAAAGGACACCAGAAACAAAAUUGUACACCUGCACCAGGCUGGGAAGACUGAAUCUGCAAUAGGUAAGCAGCUUGGUGUGAAGAAAUCAACUGUGGGAGCAAUUAUUAGAAAAUGGAAGACAUACAAGAGCACUGAUAAUCUCCCUUGAUCUGGGGCUCCAUGCAAAAUCUCACCCCGUGGGGUCAAAAUGAUCAGAAGAACGGUGAGCAAAAAUCCCAGAACCACACGGGGGAGCUAGUGAAUGACCUGCAGAGAGCUGGGACUAAUGUAACACACUAUUCCGCCAGCGGCUCAAAUCUUGCAGUGCCAGACGUGACCCCCUACUUAAGCCAGUACAUGUGCAGGCCUGUCUGCAGUUUGCUAGAGAGCAUUUGAUCCAGAAGAGGAUUGGGUGAAUGUCAUAUGAUCAGAUGAAACUAAAAUAGAACUUUUUGGUUAAAAACUCAACUUGCUGUGUUUGGAGAAGAAAGAAUGCUGAGUUGCAUCCAAAGAACACCAUACCUACUGUGAAGCGUGGGGGUGGAAACAUCAUGCUUUGGGGCUUUUUUUCUGCAAAGGGACCAGGUCGACUGAUCCGUGAAAAGGAAAGAAUGAAUGAGGCCAUGUAUUGUGAGAUUUUCAGUGAAAACCUUCUUCCAUAAGCAAGGGCAUUGAAGACGUGGCUGGGUCUUUCAGCAUGACAGUGAUCCCAAACACACCGCCCAGGCAACGAAGGACUGGCUUCGUAAGAAGCAGUUCAAGGUCCUGGAGUGGCCUAGCCAGUCUCCAGAUCGUAACCCCAUAGAAAAUAUUUGGAGGGAGUUGAAAGUCUGUGUUGCCCAGCGACAGACCCAAAACAUCAUCGCUCUAGAGGAGAUCUGCAUGGACAAAUGGGCCAAAACACCAGCAACAGUGUGUGAAAACCUUGUGGAGACUUACAGAAAAUGUUUGAUCUCUGUCAUUGCCAACAAAGGGUGUAUAACAAAGUAUUGAGGUGAACUUUUGUCAUUGACUAAAUACUUAUUUUCCACCAUAAUUUGCUAAUAAAUUAUUUAAAAAUCA